GAUGAAGAACGCAGCGAAAUGCGAUAAGUAAUGUGGAUUGCAGAAUUCAGUGAAUCAUCGAAUCUUUGAACGCACAUUGCGCCCGCCAGUAUUCUGGCGGGCAUGCCUGUUCGAGCGUCAUUACAACCCUCAGGCCCCCGGGCCUGGCGUUGGGGAUCGGCGGAGCCCCCCGUGGGCACACGCCGUCCCCCAAAUGCAGUGGCGGUCCCGCCGCAGCUUCCAUCGCGUAGUAGCUAACACCUCGCGACUGGAGAGCGGCGCGGCCACGCCGUAAAACACCCAACUCUUCUGAAGUUGACCUCGAAUCAGGUAGGAAUACCCGCUGAACUUAAGCAUAUCAAUAAGCGGAGGA
rnacentral:misc_RNA from 1 species